GGGCCCGCACAAGCGGUGGAGUAUGUGGUUUAAUUCGAUGCAACGCGAAGAACCUUACCAGGGUUUGACAUCCUGCGAAUCUCUUGGAAACAGGAGAGUGCCUUCGGGAACGCAGUGACAGGUGGUGCAUGGCUGUCGUCAGCUCGUGUCGUGAGAUGUUGGGUUAAGUCCCGCAACGAGCGCAACCCACGUCUUUAGUUGCCAGCAUUUAGUUGGGCACUCUAGGGAGACAAACCCUCUCUGAGGGUGGGAAGGUGGGACGACGUCAAGUCAGGAUGGCCCUUACGGUUUGGGCUGCACACGUGCUACAAUGCCUGGUACAGAGGGAAGCAAUACCGUGAGGUGGAGAAAUCUCAAAACCAGGCC
rnacentral:rRNA from 1 species